rnacentral:rRNA from 1 species
UGCAAGUCGAACGGUGAAGCAGAGCUUGCUCUGUGGAUCAGUGGCGAACGGGUGAGUAACACGUGAGCAAUCUGCCCCUGACUCUGGGAUAAGCGCUGGAAACGGCGUCUAAUACCGGAUACGAGCUGCGAAGGCAUCUUCAGCAGUUGGAAAGAAUUUCGGUCAGGGAUGAGCUCGCGGCCUAUCAGCUUGUUGGUGAGGUAAUGGCUCACCAAGGCGUCGACGGGUAGCCGGCCUGAGAGGGUGACCGGCCACACUGGGACUGAGACACGGCCCAGACUCCUACGGGAGGCAGCAGUGGGGAAUAUUGCACAAUGGGCGCAAGCCUGAUGCAGCAACGCCGCGUGAGGGAUGACGGCCUUCGGGUUGUAAACCUCUUUUAGCAAGGAAGAAGCGAAAGUGACGGUACUUGCAGAAAAAGCGCCGGCUAACUACGUGCCAGCAGCCGCGGUAAUACGUAGGGCGCAAGCGUUAUCCGGAAUUAUUGGGCGUAAAGAGCUCGUAGGCGGUUUGUCGCGUCUGCUGUGAAAACUGGAGGCUCAACCUCCAGCCUGCAGUGGGUACGGGCAGACUAGAGUGCGGUAGGGGAGAUUGGAAUUCCUGGUGUAGCGGUGGAAUGCGCAGAUAUCAGGAGGAACACCGAUGGCGAAGGCAGAUCUCUGGGCCGUAACUGACGCUGAGGAGCGAAAGGGUGGGGAGCAAACAGGCUUAGAUACCCUGGUAGUCCACCCCGUAAACGUUGGGAACUAGUUGUGGGGUCCAUUCCACGGAUUCCGUGACGCAGCUAACGCAUUAAGUUCCCCGCCUGGGGAGUACGGCCGCAAGGCUAAAACUCAAAGGAAUUGACGGGGACCCGCACAAGCGGCGGAGCAUGCGGAUUAAUUCGAUGCAACGCGAAGAACCUUACCAAGGCUUGACAUAUACGAGAACGGGCUAGAAAUAGUCAACUCUUUGGACACUCGUAAACAGGUGGUGCAUGGUUGUCGUC